CGAAGGUUCGACUCGAGCGCCAGCGAGAAAGCGUUGCCGCAGGCAACGACCCGAAGGGCGAAGCGCGCAGCGCUGAGUAAUCCUUCCCCCACCACCA
rnacentral:sRNA from 1 species